rnacentral:rRNA from 1 species
AGCGAACGUUAGCGGCGGGCCUAACACAUGCAAGUCGAGCGAGAAAGUGGCUUCGGCCACGAGUAAAGCGGCGGACGGGUGAGUAACACGUAGGUAAUCUUCCCUUGAGCGGGGGACAACGAGCCGAAAGGCUCGCUAAUACCGCAUACGUUUCCAGAGGCCCCGGUCUCUGGAAGGAAAGCUAGGCCGCAAGGUCUGGCACUCGGGGAGGAGCCUGCGUCGCAUCAGCUAGUUGGGGGGGUAACGGCCUACCAAGGCGAAGACGCGUAGCUGGUCUGAGAGUAUGAUCAGCCAAACUGGGACUGAGACACGGCCCAGCCUCCUGCGGGAGGCAGCAGUGGGAAAUAUUGGACAAUGGGCGCAAGCCUGAUCCAGCCACGCCGCGUGAGUGAUGAAGGCCUUCGGGUCGUAAAGCUCUGUGGGGAGGGACGAACCGCUGCACGUUCAUAGCGUGCAGCAUGACGGUACCUCCUUAGCAAGCACCGGCUAACUUCGUGCCAGCAGCCGCCGUAA